rnacentral:rRNA from 1 species
UACGUAGGUGGCUAGCGUUAUCCGGAUUUAUUGGGCGUAAAGCGAGCGCAGGCGGCUCGGUAAGUCAGAUGUGAAAUCUCCCGGCUUAACUGGGAGGGGUCAUCUGAUACUGCCAGGCUUGAGGACAGUAGAGGGAGACGGAAUUCCCGGUGUAGUGGUGAAAUACGUAGAUAUCGGGAGGAACACCAGUGGCGAAAGCGGUCUCCUAGGCUGUUUCUGACGCUUAGGCUCGAAAGCGUGGGGAGCAAACAGG